UACGGAGGGUGCGAGCGUUAAUCGGAAUUACUGGGCGUAAAGGGUGCGUAGGUUGUUGUAUAAGUUAACUGUGAAAUACCUGGGCUUAACCUGGGGCGGUCAGUUAAGACUGUAUGACUGGAGUAUAGGAGAGGGUAGUGGAAUUUCCGGUGUAGCGGUGAAAUGCGUAGAUAUCGGAAGGAACACCGGUGGCGAAGGCGGCUACCUGGCCUAAUACUGACACUGAGGCACGAAAGCGUGGGUAGCAAACAGG
rnacentral:rRNA from 1 species